rnacentral:rRNA from 1 species
CGAACGCUGGUCGCGUGCUUAAACAUGCAAGUCGAGCGGAAAGGCCCUUCGGGGUACUCGAGCGGCGCCCGGGUGAGUAACACGUGAGUAAUCUGCCCCUAGCUCUGGGAUAGCUCCGGGAAACCGGGAUUAAUACCGGAUACGACCACUACGGACAUCUGUUUUGGUGGAAAGAAUUUCGGCUAGGGAUGAGCUCGCGGCCUAUCAGCUUGUUGGUGGGGUAACGGCCUACCAAGGCGACGACGGGUAGCCGGCCUGAGAGGGCGGGCGGCCACACUGGGACUGAGACACGGCCCAGACUCCUACGGGAGGCAGCAGUGGG